rnacentral:rRNA from 1 species
UACGUAGGGACCGAGCGUUGUCCGGAAUCAUUGGGCGUAAAGAGCGUGUAGGCGGCCACUUAAGUCCUGCGUGAAAUCUUGCGGCUCAACCGCAAGCGGUCGUGGGAAACUGGGUGGCUAGAGUGCGGGAGAGGAGAGUGGAAUUCCUGGUGUAGCGGUGGAAUGCGCAGAUAUCAGGAGGAACACCAGCGGCGAAGGCGGCGCUCUGGGCCGGAACUGACGCUGAGGAGCGAAAGCGUGGGUAGCAAACAGG